AGUGAACGCUGGCGGCGUGCCUAAUACAUGCAAGUCGAACGGAGAUUAAGUAGCUUGCUAUUUAAUCUUAGUGGCGCACGGGUGAGUAAUAUAUAGCUAACUUGCCCAUUACUAAGGGACAACAGUUGGAAACGACUGCUAAUACCUUAUACUCCGUAUCUAUAUAAGUAGAUACGGGAAAGUUUUUCGGUAAUGGAUAGGGCUAUAUCGUAUCAGCUAGUUGGUAAGGUAAUGGCUUACCAAGGCUAUGACGCGUAACUGGUCUGAGAGGAUGACCAGUCACACUGGAACUGAGGCACGGUCCAGACUCCUACGGGAGGCAGCAGUAGGGAAUAUUGCUCAAUGGGGGAAACCCUGAAGCAGCAACGCCGCGUGGAGGAUGACACUUUUCGGAGCGUAAACUCCUUUUCUUGGGAAAGAAUUAUGACGGUACCCAAGGAAUAAGCACCGGCUAACUCCGUG
rnacentral:rRNA from 1 species